rnacentral:rRNA from 2 species
ACGGGUGAGUAAUAUAUCGGAACGUGCCCAGUCGUGGGGGAUAACUGCUCGAAAGAGCAGCUAAUACCGCAUACGACCUGAGGGUGAAAGCGGGGGAUCGCAAGACCUCGCGCGAUUGGAGCGGCCGAUAUCAGAUUAGGUAGUUGGUGGGGUAAAAGCCCACCAAGCCAACGAUCUGUAGCUGGUCUGAGAGGACGACCAGCCACACUGGGACUGAGACACGGCCCAGACUCCUACGGGAGGCAGCAGUGGGGAAUUUUGGACAAUGGGCGCAAGCCUGAUCCAGCCAUGCCGCGUGCGGGAAGAAGGCCUUCGGGUUGUAAACCGCUUUUGUCAGGGAAGAAAAGGUUCUGGUUAAUACCUGGGACUCAUGACGGUACCUGAAGAAUAAGCACCGGCUAACUACGUGCCAGCAGCCGCGGUAAUACGUAGGGUGCAAGCGUUAAUCGGAAUUACUGGGCGUAAAGCGUGCGCAGGCGGUUAUGCAAGACAGAUGUGAAAUCCCCGGGCUCAACCUGGGAACUGCAUUUGUGACUGCAUGGCUAGAGUACGGUAGAGGGGGAUGGAAUUCCGCGUGUAGCAGUGAAAUG